rnacentral:rRNA from 1 species
UACGUAGGGUGCGAGCGUUAAUCGGAAUUACUGGGCGUAAAGCGUGCGCAGGCGGCGCGUUAAGACAGGUGUGAAAGCCCCGAGCUUAACUUGGGAAUUGCGCUUGUGACUGGCGUGCUGGAGUGUGGCAGAGGGAGGUGGAAUUCCACGUGUAGCAGUGAAAUGCGUAGAGAUGUGGAGGAACACCGAUGGCGAAGGCAGCCUCCUGGGCCAGCACUGACGCUCAUGCACGAAAGCGUGGGGAGCGAAACAAGGAUUGAGAAACCCCGGA